ensembl:lncRNA
AUUACAACUAGUUUAUAUACACUUAGGUUGGAGUCAUUACAACUAGUUUAUAUACACUUAGGUUGGAGUCAUUAAAACUAGUUUACUUACACUUAGGUUGGAGUCAUUACAACUAGUUUACAUCCACUUAGGUUGGAGUCAUUACAACUAGUUUACCUACACUUAGGUUGGAGUCAUUAAAACUAGUGUACAUCCACUUAGGUUGGAGUCAUUACAACUAGUUUACAUCCACUUAGGUUGGAGUCAUUACAACUAGUUUACAUCCACUUAGGUUGGAGUCAUUACAACUAGUUUACAUCCACUUAGGUUGGAGUCAUUACAACUAGUUUACAUACACUUAGGUUGGAGUCAUUAAAACUUGUUUUUCAACCACUCCACAUAUUUUUUAAAAAGCUAUAGGUUUUGUCAAGUCGGUUAGGACAUCUACUUUGUGCAUGACACAAGUCAUUUUUCCAACAAUUG